AGAGGAGCUAUUUUCAGGCUUGAGUCGGGUUAACAGGCCUGUCUGAAAUCUCUCUCUCUCUCUCUCUCUCUCUCUCUCUCUCUCUCUCUCUCUCUCUCUCCCUCUCCCUCUCCCUCUCUCUCUCCUCUCUCUCUCCACCCCCACCUCACCCCCAUCCCCCCCGCUCAUAUUUAUGCCGAUGAUGCGAGUUCAUGUGAAGACGCCGAGAGCUUUGUUUGGGACCUGUCACACUGAAGGCAGAAGGUGGGGUGGGAGCAGAGAGGCAUUGUGGGUGGAUUAGACCAGAACCAAAGUGGACCCCUCUGUCUUUCUCACACACACACACACAUGCUCCCCGCAGGUACAGUACCCGGCCCCCUCGCCUCCUUCUCAACCCUCCCCUCUGAUCAAUGGAGCUGAAACAAGGAGGCCAGGAGGGGCCUCUGGUUCCCACAUCAGACCCCACUGUAGCUGGUCUCCUCCCACCCCCCAAAUGGACCUUUACUGUACCCCAGACCUGGUCUCCGAGUCUGCAGGACCACAAGAAGCUACAUGAGAACAGAUCUGGACUGGGUCUGAGCGUCAGUGUGAGGGGCGGACAGUCCAGAUACAGAUCCAUCAGAACCAGAGAGGUCCAUCUAUGAACGAGUUUACGGCACCAGAACUGUAACAGUACAGUUAAACAGUUGGGUCGAGCUCAUAUGGACUCAGAGUUCACCCGCUGACCCAUGAACAGGAAGUUGAACAGAACAAAUAUGAUGUUAGGAAGGAUGAGAAAACCUCAACAAAGAAAAGACGACAAAGUUAACCGUCGUAUCGAACAAAAAUACGAUAAGGUUUCUCUCCGUUAGCUUCAGGCAGCUGUUGGCUAGCGUCAGAUUAAAUGUUGAUGAUUUCAAGAUGAAGAGAAAUUCACUGUCUGUUCGCUUUAAAAACAGACAUGUUCAUGUAUAACCCUAUAUUUCCACAGCGAUUUUCGCCGUUCGCCAAUUCUUACCAGAUCCGUUUGUGAGGCGAAUUUCACGACGGGAAUCGUGAGAACUCACAAGAACUCGCAGAUUCAAGACGUGUUAACUUGAAUGGUUACGAUCAGCUACGAUCGGAGGAUACGACCUUUUCAUAGACGAUCAGGAUGAAGGUGGAGAUCGGGGGUCAGACACCAAGAAAAGCAGACAAAGACAGUUUUGUUAAUUAUGAAGUAAAGUGAAAAUGAAAUUAUAUACAAGAGUCUUUUAACUCUUACACUAAUCUCAUAUUUCCUUCUUUAGCUAACGACAUAAAUCUUAAUCCCAGAUCGUUGGAUUAAACCCAACAGGCCGUCACUCAGAUGUAAAGUAGGAGAUACACAAUAGGAGAUACUGUAGUAACUCCACAAAAGGACUCAUCAGUAACAGUCAGUGAUUAAGCCUUCGGCAGGAUGAGAAAAGCUCAAUAGUCUUUGCACCUUCAGCCAUUAAGAGGAGAAAGAGAGAAGACCUCUGAACUUUCUCCUCCAAACAAAAACACUCUCUCCCUUAUCUCCUCUCUCUCUCUCUCUCUCUGUAAAGUCAGUGGUCCGACUCUCUCAAAGGAGCCCCGAGCCCCCGGCCCGCUCCUAUUGGUCCCUCCUUGCUCUCCCACACUGAGUGCCCAUGGCUCCUGAAGUGAUGCUCUUUGUGUGGGGUUCAGGGGUCGUGCCUAUUAGCGUGAAGAAAGCCCUGCUGGGUCUUAUCCCGACCCGGAGGAGGACGCAGGGCUCUUCACCUCAACGUCGGCCCGGCCAGCCCCCUCCCCCGGUCGGGACACUUUCAUCCUUUGUCAGAAGGUCAAUGAGCGAACCUCCAGAGGGGAAGGAGGGCCCCCCCCUCAAUAAUGAUAUGCAUGACAGUCAUUGUAUGACCCUCAUAGGGGGGUCAUGGUUGGUUGAGGUGGGUGGGACAAGCAGUGGGAGGAGGACUGGACCUGAGGAUGGUUAUCUUAUCCUGAAGUUACAGAAUGAUGGAGAUGAUGGAGGGGGGGUUCGGGGGUCUGCUGGUCUGUGACGGUUUGAUGACGUGAAAAUCGUGAAACGGCGAUGACGGUUAACACGGGUUCGAGCUUUCACCCAGAAAAGGUCAAAUAUCAACAGUAAUGUUCAACAGAUUCAGCCAACUGUAGAGGCUCUCUGUGACCCCCCACAAACACACACACACACACACACACACACACGCGCGCGCACACACACUCAUCUGAACCCCUAACCCCAGCCUU